UUUCUAAAACAGUAAGCGAGUUCAAAUCAAAUUGGGAACCUGGAAAUCAAAUAGGUAAAAUGAUAAAGGCAGUGAUAGCGAUGAACACCCAGAGGAAGCCUCGGCUCACUAAAUUCUACGAUUUCCAGCUUCAAACUUACUUUUGCAAUUUGUUCACCGGUCGAAAUUAAAGCCUCCAGACAAGCAGCAGGAGCUGAUUCGUAUUCUCUACCUAGGUAAUUUCAAAGUUCGUAGUUUGCAGUUUUUGAAGCAACUUCAAUGGUGGCUGCGAAUUCGCCCAGUUCGUAAUUUUCUAUCCUAAUCAGUGGAAUUUGGAGAGGUACUUGAUGCUAGCAGUAGGUCACAACAAAGCAGAAGUGAAAAGAAGAGCCGAUCGAUAAGCUAUUUAGAAGUUGGGGAUGAAGCCUAUAACGGGUGUCAGCAGUCUUUGUGAAGAAUAGUCGUUGUGUAGAGUUC